AUUAUAACUCUGCUCCAGUCCGUGGCAGACCAAAAAUAAUGCUGCAUCACAACCAAAGGCUGACCUAGUUUAUACACUAUAUUUUUUUAAUACCCUAUUAGUCCAAAAACUGCCCAUGCCUCAUCCAUGUUAUUAAAGUCAUAAUCUGAUUUUCGAUAUUAGAUUAGUCAUAAUUAUGCUCCAGUCUAUCAUAGGGCAAACACAAUACGACAUCCC
rnacentral:lncRNA from 1 species